CGUCCCCAAGUUAGGCAUGAGUACCCACUAAGUUUAAGUAUAUCACUAAGCAGAGGAAAAGAAACUUACCGAGAUUCCCCUAGUAACGGCAAGCGAAUCGGGAAAAGGCUAGCAUGAAAAUUGGCGGCUCCACCUACCGAAUUGUAGUCUGUAGAAGCAUCCUCAGCGAUGGACCGGGCCCAAGUCCCCUAGAAGGGGCACCAGAGAGGGUGAGAGGCCUAUUAGGCUCAGACCCUGCUGCACCACAAGGCAUUAUCGACACAUUGGGUUGUUUGGGAAUGCAGCCCUAAUCGGGUGGUAAAUUCAGUCCAAGGCUAAAUACGGGUGAGAGACUGAUAGCGAACAAGUACCAUGAGGGAAAGAUGAAAAUAAAUUUGAAAAGAGAGUUAAAGAGUGCUUGAAAUUUCUAAGAGGGAAGUAGAUGGAGGCCAAUGAUGCACCCCGGUUGGAUGCAGAACGACGUCAGCCGGUCCGCCGCUCGGCUUGGGGGUCAUGCCAGUGUGGGCCAUUGCGAGGGCACAAGCAUGACCUUCUAGUCACACUGUACCUCCAUCAAGGUGAUCAAAGAGAAAAGUGCACGCCUACCAUGGUGGGCCCUUGGGCACUUGCAUGCUCAUGGCACUAGCCAGCGGGCUUUCCAUCCGACCUGUCUUGAAACACAGACCAAGGAGUUUAACAUGUGUGCGAGUUGGUGGGUUGGGAAACCCACGAGGUGCAAGGAAGUUGACUAGCGAGAUCCCCUCUCGAAGGGUGCACCGCCGACCAACCCUAAUCUUUUGUGAAGGGUUCAAGUGUGAGCACACCUGUUGGGACCCAAAAGAUGGUGAACUAUGCCUAAGCAAGGCGAAGCUAGAGGAAACUCUGGUGGAGGCCUGCAGCGAUACUUACAUUCAAAUCAUUCGUCUGAUUUGGGUAUAGGGGCGAAAGACUAAUCGAACCAUCUAGUAGCUGGUUUCCUCUGAAGUUUCCCUUAGGAUAGUUGGAGCUCAUGUGCGAUUUUUAUCGGUAAAGAAAAUUAUUAGAGGCAUCGGGGGCAUAAUGCCCUUGACCUAUUUUCAAACUUUAAAUAGGUAAGGUGGCAUGACUGCUCCAUUGAGUUGUGCCACAAAAUUGUGAGCUCCAAGUGGGCCAUUUUUGGUAAGCAAAACUGGCGAUGCGGGAUGAACCAAAAGCUGAGUUAUAGUGCCAAAUUGUGCACUAACCCAGAUCCCACAAAGGGUGUUGCUUGAUUAAGACAGCAGGAUGGUGGUCAUGGAAGUCAAAAUCCACUAAGGAGUGUGUAACAACUCACCUACCGAAUCAACUAGCCCCGAAAAUGGAUAGCACUGAAGUGCACAACCUAUACUCAGUCAUCGUGGCAAGUGCCAUGCUCUGAUGAGUAGGAGGAGAUGGGGGUUAUUGCGAAACCUAGGAUGUGAGCCUAGGUGGACCGACCCCUGGUGUAGAUCUUGGUGGUAGUAGCAAAUAUUCAAAUGAGAACUUUGAAGACUGAAGUGGGGAAAGGUUCCAUGUGAACAACACUUGGACAUGGGUUAGUCAAUCCUAGGAGAUGGGGAAGCCCUAUUUCAAGGGCACACUUUGCAUGAUCAUCGAAAGGGAAUUGGGUUAAUAUUCUCAAACUGGGACGUGGCGGCGAAUAGCAAUGUUAGGAAAUCUGGAGACGUCAGCGGGGGCCCCGGGAAGAGUUAUCUUUUCUUUUUAACAGCCUGUCCACCCUGAAAUUGGUUCAACCGGAGAUAGGGUCUAGCGGCUAGAAGAGCACCGCAUGUCCCACUAUGUCUGGUGCACCUUCAAUGGCCCUUGAAAAUCUGGAGGACUGAGUACCGUUCAUGCCCAAUCAUACUCAUAACCGCAUUAUGUCUCCAAGGUGAACAACCUCUGGUCAAUAGAACAAUGUACAUAAGGGAAGUCGGCAAAAUGGAUCUGUAACUUGAGGAAAAGGAUUGGCUCUAAGGGUUGGGCCUAGGGGUUUGCACCCCAAACCCAUGGGGUUGUUGGUGACCUACCCGAGCUGCUACUGCGACGAGGCCGGGCCAUCAUGUGUUUAUCGAGAGAUGGACGCAAGGUGCUCCCUUAAGGGGGUUUCCCUAGGUGGCGAAUAACUGACUCAGAACUAGUAUGGACAAGGGGAAUCUGACUAUUUAAUUAAAAUAAAGCAUUGUGAUGGUCCCUAUGGAUGCUGACGCAAUAUGAUUUCUGCCCAGUGCUUUGAAUGUUAAAGUGAAGAAAUUCAACCAAGCGUGGGUAAAUGGUGGGAGUAACUAUGACCCUCUUAAGGUAGCCAAAUGCCUCAUCAUCUAAUUAGUGACGCACAUGAAUGGAUUAACAAGAUUACCACUAUCCCUAUCUACUAUCUAGCGAAACCACAUCCAAGGGAACGAGCUUGGCGGAAUCAGCGGGGAAAGAAGACCCUGUUGAGCUUGACUCUAGUCCAACUUUGGGAAAUCACUUGAGAGGUGUACAAAAAGUGGGAGUCAUUUUGGUGCAAGUGAAAUACCACUACUUUUAAUGUUAUUUUACUUAUUCCAUGAGGCGGAGAUGGGGAAAUGCCCUUAUUUUUGGCCUUAAGGUGUGUCUAGGUGCGCCAAUCCAGGUGGAAGACAUUAUCAGAUGGGGAGUUUGGCUGGGGUGGCACAUCUGUUAAAAGAUAAUAUAGGUGACCUAAGAUGAGCUCAACAAGAAUAGAAAUCUUGUGUGGAACAAAAGGGUAAAAGCUUAUUUGAUUUUGAUUUUCAGUAUGAAUACAAACCAUGAAAGCGUGGCCUAUCGAUCCUUUAGACUUUUGGAAUUUGAAGCUAGAGGUGUCAAAAAAGUUACCACAAGGAGAACUGGCUUGUGGUAGCCAAGCAUUCAUAGCAACGUUGCUUUUUGAUCCUUUGAUGUUGGCUCUUCUUAUCAUUGUGAAGCAGAAUUCACCAAGUGUUGGAUUGUUGACCCACCAAUAGGGAAUGUGAGCUGGGUUUAGACCAUCAUGAGAUAGGUUAGUUUUACCCUGCUGAUGAUCCACAUCAUGAUAGUAAUUCAACUUAGUAUGAGAGGAACUGUUGAUUCACACAUUUUGUCAUCAUGCUUGGUUGAAAAGCAAGUGGCACGAAGCUACUAUGUGUCGGAUUAUGACUGAAUGCCUCUAAGUUAGAAUCCAUGCUAGAUGCGGUGCAUCUCUCUCUCCGACUACAUCACGACCCGUAGUAGGGGUACUCUUGCACCCCCAGGGGCCUAUGUCAUUGGCUACCUUCGAUCGGCCCAACCACUUGGUCGGAGCAACCUUGGAUAACAAUUUCAAGCUAUCAACGAGAAGAAUCUUUUGCAGAUGACUUAAAUAAGUGACGGGAUAUGUAAGUGGUAGAGUGGCAUUGCUGCCAUGAUCCACUCAGAUUCAGUCCUCUGUCGCCUCAAUUUGU